rnacentral:hammerhead_ribozyme from 1 species
AUCCAGCUGACUAGUCCCAAAUAGGACGAAACGCGCACCAAACUGGAU